rnacentral:rRNA from 1 species
CCUUAGUAACGGCGAGUGAAGCGGCAACAGCUCAAAUUUGAAAGCUGGCUCCUUUGGAGUCCGCGUUGUAAUUUGUAGAGGAUGAUUCGGCAAGGGCUCCCGCCUAAGUCUCCUGGAACGGAGCGUCAUAGAGGGUGAGAAUCCCGUAUGCGGUGGGCUGCCUAAGCCAUGUGAAUCUCCUUCGACGAGUCGAGUUGUUUGGGAAUGCAGCUCUAAAUGGGAGGUAAAUUUCUUCUAAAGCUAAAUACCGGCCAGAGACCGAUAGCGCACAAGUAGAGUGAUCGAAAGAUGAAAAGCACUUUGGAAAGAGAGUUAAAAAGUACGUGAAAUUGUUGAAAGGGAAGCGCUUGCAGCCAGACUUGUCCGCAGUUGCUCAGCCGGUCUCCUGACCGGUGUACUCUUCUGCGGCCAGGCCAGCAUCAGUUCGGGCGGUCGGAUAAAGACCUCGGGAAUGUAGCUCCUCUCGGGGAGUGUUAUAGCCCGGGGUGGAAUGCGGCCAGCCUGGACUGAGGAUCUCGCUUCGGCUAGGAUGCUGGCGUAAUGGCUGUAAGCGGCCCGUCUUGAAACACGGACCAAGGAGUCUAACAUCUAUGCGAGUGUUUGGGUGUCAAACCCAUGCGCGUAAUGAAAGUGAACGGAGGUGGGAACCCUCACGGGUGCACCAUCGACCGAUCCUGAUGUCUUCGGAUGGAUUUGAGUAAGAGCAUAGCUGUUGGGACCCGAAAGAUGGUGAACUAUGCCUGAAUAGGGUGAAGCCAGAGGAAACUCUGGUGGAGGCUCGCAGCGGUUCUGACGUGCAAAUCGAUCGUCAAAUUUGGGUAUAGGGGCGAAAGACUAAUCGAACCAUCUAGUAGCUGGUUCCUGCCG